GGUGGGUUGGCUCAACGGAUAGAGCGUAAGGCUCGCAACUGGGAGGUCCGAGUUCGAAUCUCGCAAAAGGCG
rnacentral:tRNA from 1 species